rnacentral:ncRNA from 1 species
AGAACUCUGGAGAAUCCCUCUUAAAGGGUGCCGAAGGUGCAAGUACGUUUUCGUAUAAUCUCUCAGGCAAAAAGACAGAGCUG